CCUUAAUGAUGUCAAUUGAUGACGAGUCUGAGAAAUUCCAUUCAAUCAAUCAUGAUGUGAAUUGAGGCAUUUGUCUGAGAGGU